rnacentral:lncRNA from 1 species
CCACAGUCUCUUGUCCCUCCUGUCCUCCUGGUCAUGUCCCUCAGGGUGGGAGCCGCAUCGAUCCUUCUCAGAGGCAGUUUCUGAGGGACUCUGGCUGGAAUCAUUUGCAGGCGGCCAGCUGGUGGGGACAAAGGGCUUUUCUUUGUCAGCUGUCAGGACAAAAUUCUUCACAAAGAGCCUGAGACCCACCACCUGCCUCAGCAUCAGCUGCAGAGCCCAAGCCGUGUCACUGGGCUGGGGAUCAGCAGCCAUAUCUGAAUGACAGCACCUAAUCAGAGUUCCAGGGAAGUUGGAAGAAACGCCAAGAGACCUGGAUCAUGGUUGGCCACUUCUAUAUAUUUAAGAGGAUCUAACACUGUGUAGUCCAGGCUGACCUCAAACUCACUAUGUAACCCAGCCUUACUUUGAAUUUGUGGCAGUUCUUCUGUCUCUGAGUACUGGAAUUAUAGGCACACACCACUCUGCAUCUAUCCUUGGCUUCUGGUAUUAAUAGAAGAUAGAGCUGACUGUGUACACUGUCCUUGCUCUGUGCUAAUAUGAAGCAGAGGUGUCACAUCAAGAUGGCUGUAGACCCAGGUCCAGCUGCAGUUUUCCCAUGUGGGACCUGUUGGCCUCACUGCUCUCCCCAGAUCCCUCGGGGUCCACCAUGCUAAGCCUUACACAGGCUUGCUUUCUGCCCCACAGGCAGUGCUCAGCCACAGGCUGAUUUGUUCAUCCAAGCCUACAAGUGUGCUUAGGAAUACCUGGCUAGUGCAGGAAUGGACUAACACAUACAUGAAGCGUGGAGCCAUGGUCUGACUCUUUGGGGGACAGAGGUAGAUGAGGACAAGCUAAUCGGGGGACUAGCCCUAGUGGUGAGCGUGGAAAGAGCAGAGGUCUACUGAGAAAGCCAAGCUUUCCCUUGGCUCCUGGAAAGUCUCCAGGCAGAAAGGGAACGGCUACCCAAAGAACAUUCUUCGCAUGAGGUCAGGGUGCCUACUCUAAAGCUCGAUAGCCUGUUUUAGGAUCCCACUACUGAAUGUGUGAUCGUGAGCAAGUUGCUUAAAUCUUCUUGCACCCACUUGGGAAGGCAUAGGUAAAAGAAUUAGCCUUUGAGGGUACUGUGGGAGUCUGGCAUACCAACACACCCUCAGUGUUUGGGCCAGCAUCUAGGAGGGCACAGGAGGAGAACAAUGGCCACUGCGAAGGUGAUCUGCCCUGGAGGAGAGUAUUUGAGAAGUCCUACUGUAGGCUUUGCUUACAGAGCGUAGGCAGAUGGCUCC